GAUGAAGAACGUAGCGAAAUGCGAUACGUAGUGUGAAUUGCAGAAUUCAGUGAAUCAUCGAAUCUUUGAACGCACAUUGCACCUCUCGGUAUUCCGGGAGGUAUUCCUGUUCGAGCGUCAUUUGUACCCUCAAGCUCUGCUUGGUGUUGGGUGUUUGUUCCGCCUCUGUGUGUGAACUCGCCUCAAAACAAUUGGCAGCCGGCGUACUUGUUUCGGAGCGCAGCACAUUUUGCGAUCCAGAUCAACGUACAGCGGCAUCCAAGAAGCCUUAUUUAACGCUCUUGACCUCGGAUCAGGUAGGGAUACCCGCUGAACUUAAGCAUAUCAAUAAGCGGAGGA
rnacentral:misc_RNA from 1 species